rnacentral:lncRNA from 1 species
GAGGACCCUGCUCUACCUUUUUAAGACCAAUGCAGUGUCCAGGGCAGUGGGGGAAAGAUCUCCCACUAUCAGACAGCUCUCUAUCUCUACACUCCUCUAUCAAUGCAAGUCCUGAGUGACAUUAAAAGAGUUGGUACCUUCUUCUGAUAUGGGGGAGUUACAGCUAACUCACAUCAGUGUUACUCAUAUUUGUAUAGGAAACUUGGCUUUCAGAGUACACAGUGGUACGUGUAGAAUCCUCCAUGUAUGCAGUCCUGGGAAAUGAUGCAUCAAACAACACCUUCUGCAGACAAUUUUGAAGAAACUGGAAAACCUAUUAGCAGUGUUACACCAGUUUUCAUCAAUGGUGCUCAUCACCAUGUUCCAGCAGACUUCAUCUCUCCACUUGAAUUUGAUCAGAAAUAUCCUGUGGUGAAAACAACUUUGGCAGCAGUACCAGAAAGAGUACUUAAGUUUAAAGAGGUCUAUAUUCUUUUUCCUCUGUCCAACACUUUGGAAUCCUAA